rnacentral:rRNA from 1 species
CAAUAGCGUAUAUUAAAGUUGUUGCAGUUAAAAAGCUCGUAGUUGGAUUUCUGGUGGGAGCGAUCGGUCUGGCGCUUAGCGCGAGUACUUGCAUCGUCUCCGGCCAUCCUUGGGGAGAGUCUGUCUGGCAUUAAGUUGUCGGGCAGAGGAUCCUCAUCGUUUACUGUGAAAAAAUUAGAGUGUUCAAAGCAGGCUUAUGCCGUUGAAUAUAUUAGCAUGGAAUAAUAAGAUAGGACUUUGGUACUAUUUUGUUGGUUUGCGCACCAAAGUAAUGAUUAAUAGGGACAGUUGGGGGUAUUCGUAUUCCGUUGUCAGAGGUGAAAUUCUUGGAUUUACGGAAAACGAACUACUGCGAAAGCAUUUACCAAGGAUGUUUUCAUUAA